rnacentral:rRNA from 1 species
AACGAACGCUGGCGGCAUGCCUAACACAUGCAAGUCGAACGGGAUCUUCGGGUCUAGUGGCGCACGGGUGCGUAACGCGUGGGAAUCUGCCCUUUGGUUCGGAAUAACAGUUGGAAACGACUGUUAAUACCGGAUGAUGACGAAAGUCCAAAGAUUUAUCGCCAGAGGAUGAGCCCGCGUAGGAUUAGCUAGUUGGUGUGGUAAAGGCGCACCAAGGCGACGAUCCUAGCUGGUCUGAGAGGAUGAUCAGCCACACUGGGACUGAGACACGGCCCAGACUCCUACGGGAGGCAGCAGUGGGGAAUAUUGGACAAUGGGCGAAAGCCUGAUCCAGCAAUGCCGCGUGAGUGAUGAAGGCCUUAGGGUUGUAAAGCUCUUUUACCCGGGAUGAUAAUGACAGUACCGGGAGAAUAAGCUCCGGCUAACUCCGUGCCAGCAGCCGCGGUAACAC